rnacentral:rRNA from 1 species
AACCCGGUGACAGGUGCUGCAUGGCUGUCGUCAGCUCGUGUCGUGAGAUGUUGGGUUAAGUCCCGCAACGAGCGCAACCCUUGUCAUUAGUUGCUACCGCAAGGAGCACUCUAAUGAGACUGCCGGUGACAAACCGGAGGAAGGUGGGGAUGACGUCAGGUCCUCAUGGCCCUUAUGGGUAGGGCUACACACGUCAUACAAUGGCCGGUACAGAGGGCUGCCAACCCGCGAGGGGGAGCCAAUCCCAGAAAACCGGUCGUAGUCCGGAUCGUAGUCUGCAACUCGACUGCGUGAAGUCGGAAUCGCUAGUAAUCGCGGAUCAGCUUGCCGCGGUGAAUACGUUCCCGGGUCUU